rnacentral:rRNA from 1 species
ACGAACGCUGGCGGCACGCCUAACACAUGCAAGUCGAACGCAGGUGCUUGCACCUGAGUGGCGCACGGGUGAGUAACGCGUGGGUACCUACCCAGCAGUACGGAAUAACUGUGGGAAACUGCAGCUAAUACCGUAUACGCCCCGCAAGGGGGAAAGUUUUUUCGCUGUUGGAGGGGCCCGCGUCGGAUUAGGUAGUUGGUAGGGUAAUGGCCUACCAAGCCGACGAUCCGUAGCUGGUCUGAGAGGAUGGUCAGCCACACUGGGACUGAGACACGGCCCAGACUCCUACGGGAGGCAGCAGUGGGGAAUCUUGGACAAUGGGGGAAACCCUGAUCCAGCGAUGCCGCGUGAGUGAUGAAGGCCUUAGGGUUGUAAAGCUCUUUCGCCGGGGAAGAUAAUGACGGUACCCGGAGAAGAAGCCCCGGCUAACUCCGU